AUUGAACGCUGGCGGCAUGCCUUACACAUGCAAGUCGAACGGCAGCACGGGAGCAAUCCUGGUGGCGAGUGGCGAACGGGUGAGUAAAGUAUCGGAACGUGCCCAGUCGUGGGGGAUAACGUAGCGAAAGUUACGCUAAUACCGCAUACGAUCGAUGGAUGAAAGCGGGGGAUCGCAAGACCUCGCGCGAUUGGAGCGGCCGAUAUCAGGUCAGGUAGUUGGUGGGGUAAAGGCUCACCAAGCCGACGCUCUGUAGCGGGUCUGCGAGGACGACCAGCCGCACUGGGACGGAGACACGGCCCAGACUCCUACGGGAGGCAGCAGUGUGGAAUUUUGGACAAUGGGCGAAAGCCUGAUCCAGCCAUGCCGCGUGCAGGAUGAAGGCCUUCGGGUUGUAAACUGCUUUUGUACGGAACGAAAAGGUUUGGCCUAAUAAGCUGAGCUCAUGACGGUACCGUAAGAAUAAGCACCGGCUAACUACGUGCCAGCCGCCGCGGUAA
rnacentral:rRNA from 1 species